GAUCCUGGCUCAGGAUGAACGCUAGCUACAGGCUUAACACAUGCAAGUCGAGGGGAAACGACAUCGAAAGCUUGCUUUUGAUGGGCGUCGACCGGCGCACGGGUGAGUAACGCGUAUCCAACCUGCCCAUCACUUGGGAAUAACCUUGCGAAAGUAAGAUUAACGCCCGAUGGUAUUAAGGUUCCGCAUGGGAUUUUAAUUAAAAGUUAUGAUAACAGAUGGGGAUGCGUUCCAUUAGAUCGUAGGCGGGGUAACGG
rnacentral:rRNA from 1 species